UACGUAGGUGGCAAGCGUUGUCCGGAAUUACUAGGCGUAAAGGGCAGGCAGGCGGAUCCAUAAGUUUAUCGUUUAAGGCGUCGGCUUAACCGGCGUAGGGCGGUAGAUACUGUGGAUCUGGAAUGCGGUUGGGGAAGACAGAAUUCCUGGUGUAGCGGUGGAAUGCGCAGAGAUCAGGAGGAAUACCGAAGGCGAAGGCAGUCUUCCAAGCCGUUAUUGACGCUCAACUGCGAAGGUGUGGGUAUCAAACAGGAUUAGAUACCCCGGUAGUCCCUGAG
rnacentral:rRNA from 1 species